AAUAAGGUGCCUGAAAAAGGGUUAUUUUGAUAGAAUAAAUUAUACAUUUAUGUUCUUAUUA
rnacentral:tRNA from 1 species